UCCCAAAGUGGUCCAGGUGGACCCCCAGGGGUCCACGGGAGACUCGACGGGGGUCUACGUUGGGUCUAACAAAAAAUGGGGGUCUACACUUUGUAAGCGGGGGUGAAUGAAAAUUAAUUUGGUUUCGAUAGUGAAGAACUAAGAUAUUGGCUUGACUUCUAUCACUUUAGGCAGAUAAUAUUUUGAGAAGCUCAGCGACUGUUACUUGUAAAACCCUGUAAAAUUGUAAAAAUUUGUUCCAUAUUCAGUACAACGCGUCGAGACUUGUCGUCGACGCGCCGCUGCCGGCAACCGUCCCGUCCGCAAUACUUGUUCAAACGUGUAGAGGUGCAGAAAACAUCGAUGGAAACAUCGAUACCUCGAUGUUUUGGAAAAAUGAAAAACAUCGAUGUAUUUUAAAAAACAUCGAGAAGCUCAGCAAGUUCUUCACCUCUACAAACGUGCAAAUGAAUUGAAUCAAAUGAAUGUUUAUAAAUACGAAUGUCAAGGAGAAACGUUUCUCAUUUCCGAAAUGUCAUAAGGAAAUCUGAAUCGAUAUUAGUGCCAUAAUUUGUUUCCAGACUUUCUAAAAGUAAAGUGAAUCGAUAUUACCUAGUGAUUACCAGUAUCGCAAAAAUUGGUAAUUGAUACGAAACAUGACCGAAUCUAAGAAGAAGUGUCGUCAGUAUAGUGUUGAAUAUUUAAAAUUUGGUUUUCUUCCAUCACAGGCAGACAAACGGUUGCCCACAUGCAUUUUAUGCAACAAAGUUUUGGGCAAUGACUCCAUGAAACCAUCAAAGCUGGAAGAGCACCUAAGAAGGUGUCAUCCAGAUAAAAAAGAUAAAGAUUUAAAAUAUUUCCAAACAUUUAAAGAAAAAUAUGAAAAAAGACCCACCGUGCACAGUAUGUUUGCUUCAACGUCUGAAAGCAAUGAUGAUGGCUUGCGGGCAUCUUACAAUAUCUCAUUACUCAUAGCAAAAUCU